CCUAACUGGACUUCGGGGGGACAAACCGACUCCAAUAUCUCUUCUCCUGACAGCUGUGGAAUGAGGACCUUGGUUUCCUCAUCAGAAGAACUGGGCCUCUGUUUUUGAAGCAUCCCUUCCUAGAUUGGUUCAGAAGAAGAGUUAUGUCAUGCCCAGAUCACUGCAGGGAUCCAUGAGGAUUUAUAGAAGAUGUCCUGGAUCUUGUUGCCUUUGGUGCUCUUGUUGGUAUGGUUAAUGAAGAUAGCUGCUAGCCCCCAUUCGCUGAGGAUUGAAUGAAGAGAAGUAUUAGCCCUCCGAAUUUUCCCCAUCGCUUCCUAUCUGCUCUAACUUUGGAGAGAACGUAGCUUCCUUCCGUCAAGCAAUUAAAGAUGCAAACCCCUUCUUGGAAGAACAGAGGCAAAACUUAAUUGGAUUAAAACAAUGAAAUAAAUGUUUGAAAAGUAUUCAUGCUGAUCAGCUAGGAUGAAAAAAAAGAAAAAAAAGAAAUGUAUAGACAGCUGAGGGAUAAUUGCUGCCUUUUGUAUUUUCAAAGGGAAAGUCUCGAAUCACAUCGCAGCGUUCUCUAGUCGUGACUCUAAGAAAGCCGAAUAAUGGACUUAAUUAGUCCAUCAGCAAUGGUUU